rnacentral:ncRNA from 1 species
UGAGAUAGAGGCUGCGCUUCAUCAUCAGUAACGGUUUUGUAAAUGUCCGCAGAACAUUGAACCGCGAAAGGGAUUGGCGCCGAGGUCGGAUGUCUGUUGCGGAGGCAUCAAGGCCGGGCGGAUGGAAUAAUAUCUGUUCGACUGUCGCAGGAAACUUGCGGGGAGCUAUCC